rnacentral:tRNA from 1 species
GGGCCCAUAGCUUAGCGGUGAGAGCGACCGGCUCAUAACCGGCCAGGCCCUGGUUCGAAUCCAGGUGGGCCCACCA